CAAAAACACUGAAAGUGAUAGAAGAAAGAAGAAUACACUUUUGUAUCAUCACUAUCAUAACAUUCAGUCUCCCAUCAACAAGACAACAUUGGAUUCUUUCAUAUGUGACUUCAUCCUAACCACAACAAUGAAAAAUGGUCCCUCAACAGUGAAUCUAUCCCCAAAAGCUAACAACAGAUCAAGUGUCAUUAGUUCAACUAAAAACACUGUAGUUUAGAAGUCACAUGAUCAAUUUAAGUUUUAGACGAAACUAAAAUAUUAUUGUAUUUGGAUUUUAAACCUUAAUGGAAAAGCCAAUGAGGCAAAUGGAACACACAAUCACAAUCACUUCGUUGAUAUGUCUACACAAAAAAAGAAGGGAGCACUGAAUAUGAAAUCAUUGUGUGUUAUUCAUCAUUUAUUAUUAUCAACAAGAAGAAGGGAAAAGAACUGGAGAUGGGUGUCUCUGAAGCUUCCCACCAGAAAAGCUGAGUUUUUUCAUCUUCUCUUCACACCAAAGAAGCUGCUCUUUACUGAUCCUCCCCAUCCUCACAACCCUUGUUGCUAGUUUGAUGUCAAUGGCU